rnacentral:misc_RNA from 1 species
GAUGAAGAACGCAGUGAAAUGCGAUACUUGGUGUGAAUUGCAGAAUCCCGUGAACCAUCGAGUCUUUGAACGCAAGUUGCGCCCGAAGCCAUCAGGUUGAGGGCACGUCUGCCUGGGCGUCACAUAUCGUUGUCCAAUGCCUAUUGCAGUGCAAUAGGAAUUUCUAGGGCGAAUGAUGGCUUCCCGUGAGCGUUGUUGCCUCGCGGUUGGUUGAAAAUCGAGUCCUUGGUAGGGUGUGCCAUGGUAGAUGGUGGUCGAGUUAGAACGAUACCGAUCAUGUGCAUGCUCCCCAAAAUAUGGCCUCUAUGACCCACACGCGUCUUUUGACGCUCAUGACGAGACCUCAGGUCAGGCGGGGCUACCCGCUGAAUUUAAGCAUAUCAAUAAGCGGAGGA